rnacentral:rRNA from 1 species
AAGUUUGACCUCAAAUCAGGUAGGAUUACCCGCUGAACUUAAGCAUAUCAAUAAGCGGAGGAAAAGAAACCAACUGGGAUUACCUUAGUAACGGCGAGUGAAGCGGUAAAAGCUCAAAUUUGAAAUCUGGUACUUUCAGUGCCCGAGUUGUAAUUUGUAGAAUUUGUCUUUGAUUAGGUCCUUGUCUAUGUUCCUUGGAACAGGACGUCAUAGAGGGUGAGAAUCCCGUUUGGCGAGGAUACCUUUUCUCUGUAAGACUUUUUCGAAGAGUCGAGUUGUUUGGGAAUGCAGCUCAAAGUGGGUGGUAAAUUCCAUCUAAAGCUAAAUAUUGGCGAGAGACCGAUAGCGAACAAGUACAGUGAUGGAAAGAUGAAAAGAACUUUGAAAAGAGAGUGAAAAAGUACGUGAAAUUGUUGAAAGGGAAGGGCAUUUGAUCAGACAUGGUGUUUUUUGCAUGCACUCGCCUCUCGUGGGCUUGGGCCUCUCAAAAAUUUCACUGGGCCAACAUCAAUUCUGGCAGCAGGAUAAAUCAUUAAGAAUGUAGCUACUUCGGUAGUGUUAUAGCUUUUUGGAAUACUGUUAGCCGGGAUGAGGACUGCGCU